rnacentral:rRNA from 1 species
GACGUAGGGCGCGAGCGUUGUCCGGAUUUAUUGGGCGUAAAGAGCUCGUAGGCGGCUUGUCGCGUCGACUGUGAAAACUCGGGGCUCAACUCCGAGCUUGCAGUCGAUACGGGCAGGCUAGAGUACGGGAGAGGGGGGUAGAAUUCCAGGUGUAGCGGUGAAAUGCGCAGAUAUCAGGAGGAACACCGGUGGCGAAGGCGGGUCUCUGGACCACAACUGACGCUGAGGCGCGAAAGCUAGGGGAGCAAACAGG